CCUGCCUCAGUCUCUGGAGUAGCUGGGAUUACAGGCACGUGCCACCACACCCAGGUGCAUGCCUUCCGUAUUUCUCAUACUCAUCACCUCCUCUUCCCGCUUGGAACUGCCCACACUGGUGAUUUCCUUGUUAAGGAACUUGAUGGCGUUGUGCAUGCUCGCUGACAGGGGACGGCACUGAGUCAGAAAGCUGUAAUACAACAGCAAUACCUUACGUCUGUGCAACUCUUCACAACUUACAAAGCUUUCACAUUAAAAAAAAAAAGUCUUUAAAAAGAAAACAGAACAGAAAAUGAAAAUAGAGAUAGAAAAGCACGAAAAAGAGUACAAGACAAAGAUUGGGUGAGGUGGGAGUGGACUUAUAGUGUUAUUCCUACCUCAUGUAGGGUUUUAGUUUAUUCACUAGAUCCCUGGAGAGUUCUUCAUUGGGUGGUGUUGUGUAAUCCUGAAUCACCUAUAGGGUACACAAGGUGAUCUGCAAAACGCCCCUUAAUAAAGAUCUCUGAACGGGGGCUGGGGAUAAGCUUCACUGAAGAAAAUGUUCUGAGGGUGGGAGUAUUCCCUCUGUCCCCCAGAGGUGACCUUGGGUGACAGAGAAGCUGGGGUAGUGUUGGGGGAGGUGGGGUUGGAUUGUAAGAGAGAACAGGAUAGGACAUACCUGCUGCAAGGCACGAAGCAGGGCAAUACACCGGGCAUUGGAGCCACUGACCAGGCCCUGGGAGUACUGCAGGCCGAGUCGCACCAUGGCUGGGUGGAUCACAGAGGAUGGGAUGCUGAUGGGAUGGCGGUGUCACAUACUUCGAAAGGGAGCUUGAGCAUCUACUGCCCUGCCCACCU